AAGCCUGGGACAGGAUAAAGCCAAUGUGUCAGAGACAGGAAAUCUUACUUCUGAGUAUUCAGGGAGAAAGGAGCAUUGCUCAAUGCACUAGGAAUUCUACAAAAAUGGUUACCCCCCCCCUGAGAUUACACAGCCUAGGAACCAUGCUGGCCCUCAAUCAGUGCAAUUUUGAAACUGCACCGCUGCACCACUAAACAAUUACACUUUCCUUUUAAGGCUGUUAACCUUUCUGUCUGGUAGUUUUAAACACAGUUAUCUACACUGUAUAUUUGCCUAAGAGCAGUCUUUAUGGCAAAAUCAAAAGCUGGGUCAUUCCAUACUCAUUUAAAUUAAGGGAACCCAGAGAAAGGAGGCGACAUUCACAUAUGAUGUCCUGUAAGUGUGGUUAUUUGGACUCCAGAGCACUUGUCUCUGUAUAUCUGUAACUUUGAUUCUGCAUCUGAUUAUAAAGUGGAUAGUUUUAUUUAAAAAGCAUGGUCCGGCUCUCCCAUUUAACUCGAAAAAGAGACACACUAAAGGAGUUAAUUCCAAAGUGGAUAAAUUGAUAUUUUGGCCAGUAAGAUGAGGGCAUGAGGGGAAAGCUGCACUCACGUCAGCUCUGUGCCCCACUGUGCUCUGCCGACCAGGUGCAAAGAGAAAUAUGAGGAUCUGAGGGUGCUUUGGUUUUUAUUGCCAAAGGCAGCCGUGAUGAACAUUCCAGACCCUGGGGCAGAAGUUAGACAGAGCUGCCAGAAGGAACAAUGAAAGGGAUCCUAAUAGUUUAGUUUGUACAUAAAACCGAGCCAAGGAGAACUGAGUAAGCACAGACGGUAUUACUGUAAUACAUCUGAUAUGUUUACAUAGACGUUUUACUCUGCAACUCUCUCAUAGUGUGGCAGUUCUUUUGCACCUGUGUUCUGGGAAUUCUACAACUUGAACUGGAGAAAACAAUUUCACUAUAGUUUUGGCCAUAGAAGGGUUUAUGAAUGCUGACAAUGAUCCAAUUACGUUGUUAACCUUUUUGGGCUUUAUGCAUGAAUGGGAGUUUGCUGGUAUAGUUUAAUACGACCCAGAGUCCAACUCCAAAUAAUACCGCACAGCAACCUGACAAGGUGUCAAAUGGAGUGGGAAUCUAUCACUUCUCUUGAAGUAGCAAUGAACUAAAAAUCUCAAUACAACUUUAGAUACUACAGUUGCUCACUACAGGAUCUAGCUCAUCCAGAUUAUACACGUCCAAAUGAUGUAAGCAGCACGCAUGUGUGUGUGUGUGUAUGCUUAUGUGUAUGCUUCUCUGUGUGCAUUUGUGGUGUGUGUGUGUGUGUGUGUGUGUGUGUGUGUAUUUGAAUGCUGGCCUCUAUCCAAUGCUCUGGUCUGGAUGAUGCAAUUGCCAUUGUCUCCAAAAAAAAAAUAGAAUGUUUUCCCAUUUGGAAAUGGCACAAUUAAUUGAAGCAGAAAUGCUCAUCUUUACUUGCAGUUUGGCAUUAUUUCAAAGUUUAUAAAUAAUGAUUUUUAGGCUUG
rnacentral:lncRNA from 1 species